AAUAGAUACCCCGGUAGUCCACGCCGUAAACGAUGAGUGCUAAGUGUUAGGGGGUUUCCGCCCCUUAGUGCUGCAGCUAACGCAUUAAGCACUCCGCCUGGGGAGUACGGUCGCAAGACUGAAACUCAAAGGAAUUGGACGGGGGCCCGCACAAGCGGUGGAGCAUGUGGUUUAAUUCGAAGCAACGCGAAGAACCUUACCAGGUCUUGACAUCCCACUGACCGCUAUGGAGACAUAGUUUUCCCUUCGGGGACAGUGGUGACAGGUGGUGCAUGGUUGUCGUCAGCUCGUGUCGUGAGAUGUUGGGUUAAGUCCCGCAACGAGCGCAACCCUUGAUCUUAGUUGCCAUCAUUUAGUUGGGCACUCUAAGGUGACUGCCGGUGACAAACCGGAGGAAGGUGGGGAUGACGUCAAAUCAUCAUGCCCCUUAUGACCUGGGCUACACACGUGCUACAAUGGACGGUACAAACGGUUGCCAACCCGCGAGGGGGAGCUAAUCCGAUAAAACUCGUUCUCAGUUCGGAUUGUAGGCUGCAACUCG
rnacentral:rRNA from 1 species